rnacentral:rRNA from 1 species
UGGGGAAUAUUGGACAAUGGGCGAAAGCCUGAUCCAGCGACGCCGCGUGAAGGAUGAAGGUCUUAGGAUUGUAAACUUCUUUUAGGAAUGAUGAAUGCCCUGAUAAAGUCAGGGUUGACAGUAAUUCCUGAAUAAGCCACGGCUAACUACGUGCCAGCAGCCGCGGUAAUACGUAGGUGGCGAGCGUUACUCGGAAUUACUAGGUAUAAAACGCAGGUAGGUGGUUUAACAAGUUAGAGGUAAAAUCCACGAUUAAAAUCGUGAACCGCUUUUAAUACUGUUAGACUUGAGUAUAAAAAGGGGAACCGGAAUUCCUGGUGUAGCGGUGAAAUGCGUAGAUAUCAGGAGGAACACCGAUGGCGAAGGCGGGUUCCUGGUUUAUUACUGACACUGAUCUGCGAAAGCUAGGGGAGCAAGCAGG